UACGGGGGGGGCAAGCGUUGUUCGGAAUUACUGGGCGUAAAGGGUCUGUAGGUGGCCAACUAAGUCAGACGUGAAAUCCCUCAGCUUAACUGGGGAACUGCGUGUGAUACUGGAUGGCUUGGAUUUGGGAGAGGGAUGCGGAAUUCCAGGUGUAGCGGUGAAAUGCGUAGAUAUCUGGAGGAACACCGGUGGCGAAGGCGGCAUCCUGGACCAAUAUUGACGCUGAGGAGCGAAAGCCAGGGGAGCAAACGGG
rnacentral:rRNA from 1 species